CAGUUAUUUUCUCUCUCAAACUCACUCUUCCUUCCCUUCACUACACAGCGCCGCCGUUUCCAUCUUCAGAUCUAACACCACCACCGCUAUAAUCCACCGCCAUCACCACUAAACGAAUCGACGGGUUACAAAUGGAAUAUGAGUUUUGUGUCUCAUAUUCCCUGGAGAGAGAGAGGAACGUAAAAUGGUGAUUUUCUUUGGUAUAGGCGGAAUCGAAAAUGGGGAUUUCUUAUGCGUCUUCAAUGCGUUAUGUGGUUUUACAAACGCUUUGUUCUUUACCACCUCAGCAUAUGUGGAAGAAUAUUGGCUGUGGCUGAGUCAUGCAUCUACAUCAACACAGAGCAAUGCUACUGCUGAUAAAAGAUAUUUACUUGGAAAGUGGAUGCAGAGGACGACAGAUAAAGGUUAUUCAUAGAUGCAUAAAAACAUGGAAUGCUAUAUCUUCAAAAUACCUUACACAUGAUUCUUCCUAAAAUUGCGAUGCUGAGAAAAAACAUGUGAAGCAAUUGGAUCAAAUUUUAGUUGAAAAGGCUUAAAGACAGUGCUUAUGAUGCUGAUCAUGUUAUGGUAUGCAAAGAUUCCGUGUUCUGAACCUGUGCUGACGGAUUCCUUUUGCAAUAUCAUUCAAGGAACACAGAAUUUGGGUAAUGAGGGCGUUAAGAAGGAAGAAGAGGGCUGUCCUGUGACCGUUUCUGGGAGGGUAUUGAUAAAUUGCAGUUGAGCUCACAUGCCGAACAUUCCUUGUCAACAGAAAAUCAGGAGAGUCUUAUGAAUAUGCAUGAUUUCAAUCUUAAAUUUCGAGUAUAUAUAAUUCUGUUAGCUUCUUCAAAGUAGCCUCUGUUUUAAAACUUUUAGUUACUGCUUCUGGAACUCACUAACUCAUCUAAAACUGCCAAACUGUGAUGUCUACGCAAAGAAUUUUACAUUUGCAUCAGGAAGUUCUUAUAAUAGUUGUGCAAGCGUCUCUCAUAAACUGUGAAACCCUUUGUCGUCUGUUUUUUUAGCAAUAAUAAUUCCUAUACCGCUCUCAAGUGACCAAGGUUUUAAAAAGCGAAAGCGUGGGGCAAAGCGCUUUCGUAUCGAAGCGUGAAGCACUUUCAUAUCGAAGCGUGAAGCAUUGCAAAAGCGAAAGCAAGCUUUUUAAAAUAUAUAUAAGAAGUCUCCAACCUAAUAAAAGAAAAAUACGAACUUCAGACAAAUUAAAAGGAACAAUUAAACUAACUAAGCAUACUGAUACGCCUAUUAUAAUCAAGAGCUAUAAAAAUAUGUUUGCAUCAUUCAUAUCAUGUAGGCAGUCAUUCCCCAUAGGGAAAUCUUCGUCACUGAACCCCAUUCAUUUUCUCUUCCUCGAGUCUGACUAGCAGUCCCUAUUGGGCCUCAAAGCCCAACCUUUCAUCUUCUAAUAUAUACCAAAUCACAUGGCGGGGCUCUAGAAGCGCCUAUGACCUAAAGCGCAAAAAAGCGCCCAGAAGCACUUUUUAAACCAUGCAAGUGACAAAAGUU